GGCGAUCGAAAAGAUUAAGCCAUGCAUGUAUAAGUUUAAUCGUUUUAACGAGAAACCGCGAACGGCUCAUUACAAUGGCCAUGAUUUACUUGAUCUUGAUUAUCUAAAUGGAUAACUGUGGAAAAGCUAGAGCUAAUACAUGCACCAAAGCUUUGUCCUCUCGGAAAAGCGCAUUUAUUAGAACAAAACCACGCGGCUUCGGCUGCUUCUUGUUGACUCAGAAUAACUAAGCUGACCGCAUGGCCUUGUGCCGGCGGCGUGUCUUUCAAGCGUCCACUUUAUCAACUUGACGGGAGCAUAAUCGACUCCCGUGGUGGUGACGGAUAACGGAGGAUCAGGGUUCGACUCCGGAGAAGGGGCCUGAGAAAUGGCCACUACGUCUAAGGAUGGCAGCAGGCGCGCAAAUUACCCACUCUCGGCUCGAGGAGGUAGUGACGAGAAAUAACGAGACUGUUCUCUUUGAGGCCGGUCAUCGGAAUGGGUACAAUUUAAACCCUUUAACGAGUAUCAAGCAGAGGGCAAGUCUGGUGCCAGCAGCCGCGGUAAUUCCAGCUCUGCUAAUACAUAGAAUUAUUGCUGCGGUUAAAAAGCUCGUAGUUGGAUUCGUAUCGGUACCUUGGAACCCUUCGGGUGUUUCUGGGUGUUAUCGAUUUAUCGUAAUGUUCGGUUUUGAGUCCUUAACAGGAUUUUUAACAGUCAUUGCAAGUUUACUUUGAACAAAUCAGAGUGCUUCAAACAGGCGUUUUCGCUUGAAUGAUCGUGCAUGGAAUAAUAGAAAACGAUUUCGGUUCAGUUUUAUUGGUUUUACGGACUGAGAUAAUGGUUAACAGAGACAAACGGGGGCAUUUGUAUGGCCCCGUGAGAGGUGAAAUUCUUGGACCGUGGCCGGACAAACUACAGCGAAAGCAUUUGCCAAGAAUGUCUUCAUUAAUCAAGAACGAAAGUCAGAGGUUCGAAGGCGAUCAGAUACCGCCCUAGUUCUGACCGUAAACGAUGCCAACUAGCGAUCCGCUGAUGGAAAUUAUAUUGCCUUGGUGGGGAGCUUCCCGGAAACGAAAGUCUUCCGGUUCCGGGGGAAGUAUGGUUGCAAAGCUGAAACUUAAAGGAAUUGACGGAAGGGCACCACCAGGAGUGGAGCCUGCGGCUUAAUUUGACUCAACACGGGGAAACUCACCCGGCCCGGACACUGUGAGGAUUGACAGAUUGAUAGCUUUUUCAUGAUUCAGUGGAUGGUGGUGCAUGGCCGUUCUUAGUUCGUGGAGUGAUUUGUCUGGUUUAUUCCGAUAACGAGCGAGACUCUAACCUACUAAAUAGUUGGUACAUACUCUUUGUGUAUACAGCUUCUUAGAGGGAUUUGCGGCGUUCAGCCGAAAGAAAUUGAGCAAUAACAGGUCUGUGAUGCCCUUAGAUGUCCGGGGCUGCACGCGCGCUACACUGGCAAAAUCAACGUGCUUGUCCUACCCUGAAAGGGGCGGGUAAACCAUUGAAAAUUUGCCGUGAUUGGGAUCGGAAAUUGCAAUUAUUUUCCGUGAACGAGGAAUUCCAAGUAAGUGCGAGUCAUCAGCUCGCGUUGAUUACGUCCCUGCCCUUUGUACACACCGCCCGUCGCUGCCCGGGACUGAGCCAUUUCGAGAAAUUUGGGGACCGUUGAUUUAAUUUAUCUAAAUUAUUUUGAUGGAAACCAAUUUAAUCGCAGUGGCUUGAACC
rnacentral:rRNA from 1 species